AUGGUUUUUUUCCAUGCGUUCGCCGAGGCUCUUGAGGAGCUCGUCCACCUUCCAGCCAACGCGGACGAGCUCCUCAACGCUGAGGCCAACGAGGCCUGGGUGCUUGCCGUUCAUGAUGUUGUAAAGGAGGUACCUUAUCUCGCUGUCCUGGCACUCGCGGCGAGCCUUGUAGACCUGGUCCUGGAGCUUGGCGAUGCGCUGGGUGAGGAAGGCCUCCUGGUCCAUCGUCUUCUUGCAAUGCCCUAG
rnacentral:rRNA from 1 species